AUGACCAGCGGCAAACCAUUUUCAUCAGUGAAGGCCAGAAGUUGGUUGGCAUACACCUCCCAAAGGGUAAGAUCAAUCUCAGCUCCACUAUCCAAACAAACAACAAUGAAAAGUUAUGAAGUGAAUGAUGCAAGGAUUGCAGGUGGAAAAUUGACAUACCAUUCAUCGGCCAAAAUUAGGUUGACGCAAGGCUUUUUCCCAGCUCCUCCAACCUGUUGCAGGACAUCAAUGAUAUCUGCUUGGAAAAGAAUGCCAAGCAAGCAGGAGUUAUCAUCCACAUGUCAAGUGAUGAUAGGUUAG